rnacentral:rRNA from 1 species
GAUGAACGCUAGCGGCAGGCUUAAUACAUGCAAGUCGAGGGACAGCACAGGUAGCAAUACUGGGUGGUAACCGGCAAACGGGUGCGGAACACGUACACAACCUUCCUUUAAGUGGGGGAUAGCCCAGAGAAAUUUGGAUUAAUACCCCGUAAUAUAGUUGAAUGGCAUCAUUUGAUUAUUAUAGCUACGGCGCUUAAUGAUGGGUGUGCGGCUGAUUAGAUAGUUGGCGGGGUAACGGCCCACCAAGUCUACGAUCAGUAGCUGAUGUGAGGGCAUGAUAAGACAAACGGGCACUGAGACACGGGCCCGACUCCUACGGGAGGCAGCAGUAAGGAAUAUUGGUCAAUGGACGCGAGUCUGAACCAGCCAUGCCGCGUGAAGGAUUAAGGUCCUCUGGAUUGUAAACUUCUUUUAUUUGGGACGAAAAAGGGCCUUUCUAGGUCAACUGACGGUACCAGAUGAAUAAGCACCGGCUAACUCCGUGCCAGCCGCCGCCGUAACAC